CUAAUCGUACAGCAGAACUCAGAUUGGUUUUUUAGAAACUCAAUCUCAGAUGUCCAUCAGAGUACUUCUAGUAUUAAACCUUCUUAGUAUAUAAGAAAGAAAUCCUUGCCCAUGCUACCAUUUCCUGAUUGAGAUGACCUAAAAAACAUCUGUUGCUUAUCCAUGCCUUGGGUACAGAGCAGUGUAGGUAAAAGCUUCCCUGCUGAUGUGCCCAGCCUGGUUCAUAAGGAUAUUCUUUGAAGGUUAACAUCAGGGGUUUUUCAACAAAUGGAGUACUAAGGAGGUUCAGACUGCCUGAAAAGAGAUGGCCCAACCUGAAGAGGUACCUGGACAGCUGCACCAUAGCCUAACAAGAAUGAGAACUGAACAUGAAAGGUUACAGAGGGAUAGAAUGUGCCAAGAAGUGAAGGAACACUGGAAAUGACAGAAAGAAAUCCAAAGACGAUAAUGAUGAUUUAGUCUGAUGUGCUGCAAGACCUGAGUGCUGUUAAAUGGGAAAAAAAAAUUGUAUUAAAAAAAGUCUUGGGAGACUAAGUGAGUACAGCUUCAUACAGAACGUGAUUCAGAGAUAAUCACAACAUGAAGGAAUGGAAAAUGUAAGCACAUUACGUGUAUUAAAAGACACAAUGAUAGCAGAGUAGCAUGGUAUGGUAAGACUGUGAAAAAAAAUAGGGAAAGCACAGGAAUGACAGUGCAAAAUCUUCUGUGAUCAAAUCAUUUUAGAGAAAUAUGGUAAAAUAAUACUAGGCUCCAUUAAAGAUCUCCACAGUUGGACUUGAAUUAAGCCAGAGGUCUUAAUGUUAGAGAAAUUCUGUCAAAAAUGUUUUCAACUUUGCAGAAGGAGAGGAAAAAAUGGCAGGAGGCAGAUGUCACGUGGCAGCAAUUACUGCAUUUCAGGGAUUCAGAACAAACAAAAGCAGGAAUAUCCCACUUCAGUCAUCCUCCCAGUACAAUCUCAUCACAGAACAUCUCUAUGAGAUAUUCUUUUUGACAGCUGUAUUAUUAAGAUAAUGCUAUAGGAGACUUGCAAUAACAUCUAAUUAUGUAGAAACAGAGAGGAAAAGAUUUGGAUCAAAUGUCCAGCCACAGAAGGAUUACAAGCCUGUAAUACCCUACAGCUGUGAAAAAUUAAACUAGGAGAGGUAUUUGAACAGUACUAGUGAGGCCUCAUCUGGAAUAACGUAUGCAGUUCUACUCAUCUGGAAUAACAUAAGCAGUUCUACCCAAGGAAAAUAAAUUCUAUCUGCAUUUGUAGUAUGUUUGAGGGAAUCACCGUUUAUUUUAAGAGGAGAUCCUUGGUUUGUAUAACCUCACAAAAUGAAAGUUGAGAAGGAUUUUAUCUAUUUUCCACUCUUCCUUAUCGUAGGGCUAACCAACAGCAAGAAGGAACUGUUAAGCUAGAGGUUGAUGUUGGCACUAGAACAAAUUAUUCAAACUGGCCAUAAAUACACUUGGGUGAGAAAUUACAGUAUUUCUAACUACUUAGUAAGCAAAAGGGAAAAAAAGGAAUAGAUGCAGCAGACUCAAAAACAAGAAGUAGUUUGGAUAAUCAAUAUACAGAAAUGAUAAUGUAAACGUGGCUGCAUGAAAAGGAUUUGAUCAACUAAGAGGCUUUUCUGUUUGCCUACAUUCUUGUUUUUCAAUUCUAUCAGUCAGGCUUUAUCCAUCUCAGGUCCAUACUUCAGUGGAUCAGUCCAUCUGCCACGUGCCCACAGUGCUGGGAAGCCAAGGAAAUGCACAGCUACCCUGACACUGAGCCUUGCUUACUGGCACUGCCAGUAGGAUCCAUCGUGAGUUACUGAGUCAUGUGAAUUAAGGAGUAAAAAAAAACCCACAAAACCAGGCUUGCCAGAUGUGCUUUUUUCACAUAUUUUGACAAUUAUGGUUGGGCUUAAUCAUUUAUGAUAAUACUUCAUAAUGCUCUAGCAAAUGCUCUGGAGUAUACUCUGUAAAAAAUAAUGAAGUCUUAAGUAACAUGGCAACUCACUCAGCUUUUAAAUUUUUGCUCAGAAGCAGAAGGAAACAGCUUGUGUUUUCUGCAGAUUAUGGAGAACUACCACAGGAAAAUUAGGAACAUUUCCAUUAUUGCUUCUCUAUCUCUUUCUUAAGCAUUAAUUGUCAUUAACUACUGUAACAUUACCAUUGUUAUGAAGCAACAAGACACCCACAAAUAAUAUCUUCACAGCACUAAAGGAAGAAAUGCUAUCAAAUAGUAAUAUGGAGUUGUACAAAAGAAACUACAGGAAAGGAAAGGACUAAUAAUUUGUGUCUAAAUAAAAGUCAGCACUCUAAUUCUCACUGAAAGCCAGCUGUCAAGUCCUGCAUAACUUAACCAUCUACUCCCUUGCUUAUUGUGGCUUUGCUCAGCAAUUCAGCUGGCUGUAAGAUAUCACAAAAAAAAAAAAAAGGCUUCCUUCACUUAAAAAAAAAAAAAAAAACCCCACGUCAUUCCAAUAGAAAUUUUCCAUCUGACUCCUUUAUCACAACUUCUGGACAGGGUUGGAUAAGCACCAAGCACAGCCACGUGAUCUGGCAGAGCUCAUUUAUGAAACACAAUGUUGAUAUGUAAGCAGUUAAGCAUCUUGUGUCAGUAACACUGACACGAUCUCAGCUUUGAAAAAUGUCAACAAUUGAACAGUGCCUGUACUUAAUUUCAAGGAAAUUAAGGAAGUCUGUGGAAUUCAAAUAAAUUUGCUAUUUCCAUACUUCCUUGUUUUGCUGAUUGGCAGCAGUUGCCACUGUAACAUAAGGUGGAAAAUAGGAACAACUUGCACAGAUCUAUCAUAUGUUUCACAUUCUGUAAGUGUUUAGGUGGGAAGGAGUUAUUGUUCCAAAGCUCAAAAAGAGGUAACAGAGUAUUCACUGCAGAUGCAAGUCUGAGGCACUCACCAUUUCAUAAAAGCAGAAUCCUUCCAAAUGUUGUGCCAAUGGAGACAGUAAACUGACAAGAAAUGUAGAUCAAUGUUCUUUAAACAUUUCAGCUUUUCUGAUAAGCAAACAUUUCAGUCUGUGUAAUAUUGUCAAACUACAGCUGCAGAGAAUUUUGAAGAGGCUCCUAUGCAUGCUUUAAAUAUUCCUAUUCCUUUCUACCAGAAAAUGUUCUCAAGAGAGCAUAACGCCAACACAGUUCUGUUCAUAUUGCAGUCAGCUCCCUGUAUCAACUCUGGGAGAGAGUAUGGGCAAAAGCUCAAUGAAAGCUUGGAAUUCGAUGUCACUGCCUGACUGAGGCACUUCACAAGUUGCACCAGAGGAAACAGGAAGAUAAUUUGCCUCUGGAUUUGUGCAUUAAAAACAUAACUGAUGUUGCAGAGAGAAAGGAUUUGGCAAAACAGGCAGAAGGCUACAGGCAUUGCACUGCCAUUAAAUUAGCAUUUAAUCUUUCCUUUACAAGACACAGCAUUUUCCUCAGAAAAAAAAAAAAAAAGAUCUUUGCAAGAUAGCAGACUCUGAGAUCUGUCAAAUAAUCAAAAAGCUGAUUUCUUGGCACAGAAAAAUCUUCCCAAGAAAUAAGACUUUUUGAAUGACACAUAGAGAAAUGACAGGAAAAUAGGGAGAACUUCUUGGUUCACAGGAAGAAAUUUUUAUGAGCUCAUGCCAGGAGGCAAAAAUAAUCUUUAAUAUUUAGAAGAUUUUAUAGAUAUGUGGAAGGAGCUAUAUAAAAUUUAGAUUCCACCAUUAAAACUGAGUCUAAAAUGUGCAAGGAAAUAAACAGAGUAAUGCACCUAAGGCAACAUACAGCCUCAGGAGCCUUAGGCCCGUGUCAUGAUUGAGGAACAGCAAUUUGUAUAUUUGGAUCUGUAUGCUGCAUGUACAAAGACUAGCACACAAAAAUUUGAAAGGCAGGGAGGUACUAUCAUCUUUGCAAAUGAUUUGUAUUUAAUAGGGUUUUUUUCUGCAUGAAUCAGUAAAGGUUUCAAAUUGCUGUCCUUCCAUUGCUCACCAUUGGGAAAAACAAAAAAUAUUCUGUAGAAAUACAUGAUAAUUCAAUAUCCACUUAAAUUAUCUUCUUUAUAACUUUACUCCUCCUUUUCAUUUUUAAGAGCUCCUACCAAGAGGCAAAAGUAAUAUUUAACCAUCUAAGGCCAGUCUGAAAACAAAUCAAGCUGACAGUUUAGAAUGCACCAUCAAUGACUAUUUACUUUCCAAUAUACACUAUUUAAUAGAUCGGUUAGGAUGAUAGAAGUCAUACUCUAUGCUUGUGAGACACCAAGUAGAGAUGUUUUCCAGAUGGCAGAAACCUCCUAUAUCUAGGUGAUAAAACACAGAAGAUGUGUAACAAUACUACUACUAAACUUGCCAGAAGCAAGAAAACAAGCUGGCUUGCAGAUCAUUUUACAAUGCCUUACCAAUAUUUUGGCAAUGGCUUUCCCAAUUAAAAAAAUUAACCUGAUAGUUCCUUCUUACUAUUUACAAUAGCCAAGAUCCACCAGAGAAACUGAAAGCAGGAAUAGCAGUAGCAUCUAGAAAACUCGACUCUCACAUCAUAUAUUAAAGAGAUUGAGAUUUUCAGGUUUCACAAGGACUUCAAGGGAAUUUAUGUUACAGCAUUUGAGCUCAUUACAACAGCUCAAAAUCGAAGAAGAUCAGAAAUGCCAAAAGAAAACAAAAGAUGUGUCUAACAUUUUCCCCAAAUUCAACUUGUGCCUAUGAUUUUACAUCGACAUAGAAAAUGAUAGUAACAACAGAGUCAAACACCUUUGCAUCAAGUUGGUUCGAAGAAGUGACAUUAAAGAUUGUGUCUGCAUAGCUUUAUGAAUAGUAAAGCCUUCAUGUUAAUAAAAAGGCUUAGCUAUGCACCCCUCCCAGCCUUAUGGAAAAACAAAUUUAAUUAAAUUGCUUUAAAGGAACCUGGUGUCCAUAAAUUUUAAUGACGUUUUAAUGUCCCUAUUUUAAUGACUUUUCACCUGACCAUCUCAUGCCUUUUGAUACACUACACAACUCUUUUGAACUUCUCCUGUUGCCUCCUCUCUGAUUGUUGGUUUUAAAGGAAACCCGAGAUUCCCCCUCAUCAUUCAGCUGAUUUAUCCUAGAGGAACAUCAAGAAUGAGUGUCUGCUCUUAACAAAUUUCCAGUUUCAAUUUUACAGUGAAAAGUAUACAUCCCUACAGAUGAGCUGUAACAAAACUAAUUUCAGAAAUCAACCUUCUGACACUUCAUGCACGUGCCUAUUAAACAUUAUUCACAUCUGAAUAGUAACAUUUCAGAGAUACGUGCAAUGAACAUCGAUGUACAACUAAAUCAACAUCAAAGGCUAUUAAUAAGGACCAUUUAGUAAGUUGAUGACUAUUGUCUAUUCACCCUGUGUAUGUAACCAGAGUUUCUUGGAAGUCUUAAUACUCAAGUAAAGCUCCAGGUUGCCAUGGAAAGCAGCAGCAGAAGGCAGCAUGGAUACCAAGGUGUAAAGUGAUAUAGGGUUAUCCAAUAGUUCAACAUAAGAAAAAAAGGCCUCUGUGGUCUUAUCUGGUAUUGAUUCACUUCUUCAUACAUCACCUCUCUCACUUUCUGGACAAAAAUAAAAUAAAAUCAAGCAAUUUACAGCACAGAAAAGAUUUUUUUGUGUGUGUGCAAGACAAUGUUUACUUCUCUCUAUAGGAUUAGGCAGGUACCUAUUUGCAGGGAACAGGGGAUAACCUGGAUUAAGUUUCUUGCUGCUUCUAGGGAGAAAUAACUUGUUUGCAAAACACUUCUGAGGCAACUGAGCCAUCCAGAAAGAUUAAAUGAAUUCGGAAAGAAGAGAAAAAUGGUGGUAAAGGAAAAUACUCAGAAAACAAAGAUACAAUCAAGAAAAAUAAUAUACUGAAAUGAACAUAUGGCAAGUACUUAUUGGCAUAUACCUGUUAAACUUCCCCUGAAGAAACAUACCACAUAACCAGAAAGUAAAACAAGAUGUGACAGAACAAUAAGAAAUACUGAAAGUAGCAUAUAUAAAAAAAAAACAGUUAUAGACACUUAGCAAGCUAUUGACAACUGUUUUCAUGAAAUGUAGCUCCUUGAUCAGCAAUAGGAAACAUUCCAAUCAAUGUGAAGUCUAUGAACUGACUAUUUAUCCACGAUAUUACAAUUCCUUAAUUUCAUCCUAGGAUGCUCAUUAUUAAAUGUUUGAGUAUUUUCCACCUAUAAAAAAAACACAGCAUAAUAACUCCUCUAACUGGAAACAGAAGGUCAUUCGACAUCUUGAGCUGGUAAACUAUGAAACAAAGACAUAUGUCCUUCAGACACUGUGGUGACAACACUGAGAUGGAACAAAUGUUUUCAGAAGGCCACUGCAGGAUGGACAAGCUGUAAGCUUGUUACGGUUAUGCAGAGAACCGUUCACAUGAUAAUACGGAAUAAAGAAGUCAAGUCCUUUAGAAAGCAUUUAUGUCACUGGAAGAACCAAAGGAUCUGUGUGCUGUGCAGGUGGCAUCAGAAACUUGCUAAAAAGAGAUAGUGCAGCCCAUUGCUUGUUCAGUACACAUCUUGUAUACUCGGAAGGUCUUUUCAUAAAAUUAAGAUCUAAAUGUUCAGAAAAAAUAUUAAUUUCUUGUGAGAAUAUCCUAAUGAGACACACAUUGAGAUCUUUGAGGAUGAAAUGGCUGCUGAAGAUUUGUCAUAUUCUCCAGGAAAGCACCUCACAUUCACAGUCAGAUGCCUGCAAGCCUAUAGCAAUGCGUCCUUCUCACUGAUUCACUAAAGGGUGAACUAUACAAAUACUAAAAAUAUUACCUUGCAUUUCUUCUAGGAUGAAAAGAUGAAAAUAACCAUUAAGCCUAUACAUAAAAAGUCAUAGCUCUUGUUUUUCUCUUGUCUGUAAUGGCCAGAAAGAUUACAGUUGUCUUUGAAUCAUGACAGCACUUUAGUAAUGGAAUGUACUCAAAGGUAAUAACAACUGACCCUCUCCCUUCCAACAGAUGGACAAACCUGUGUUACCAGAACAUCUUUGUUCUUCCAGUAGAGAGCCAAACUAGACGCAGCAGCAGACAGCACAGCAAUAGCAUGAGUAGCACUGUCUAACUUCCUCACUGCUGAUCAUCCUUGAGAAACUACUAAUUAGUUAGAAACUUUAAAUAGGCACCUUCCACUGGUUUCUUUAUGAAACCAUGUCAUUCAUCUCAUUUAAGUGGAACUCCAAGAAAUGAAUGUGUGGAGUUCAGAAUAACACCUUUUUUUUUUUUUUUUUUUUUCUUCCCCAGAAGGAUUUUUCUCAUUUUGCUGUUUUCUUUUCUUUUUUUAAUUGCCCAGAUUCACCAUUUUUGUGAUUGAACACCCCUUGGGAGGUGAAGACCACUUAGCUAUUUAUUCACACAAGCAAAGUGGCUUUGAAAAAAAUUGUGUUUUCAUUUUCAGACUUCUGACAAAUGAGAUCGACUCAUUAGUAAUUAAGAAGUAUACCUUUAAUAGCUCAUCCUUUUGGCAUGCAGAAAGACAGAGGAAAGGAAAUAGAAUAGUUCUGGAGAAUGAGUUUGUCAAAUGUGUGCGUUUUCUCACAUGAGAAAGGUGAAAUUCUCACAUAGUUUAUUUUUUCCAAUUUUCUGUCCUGCCAUCUUCAUCUGUAAUGAUUGAUCAAAUAUCUCAAAGCACUCUCAUGAGACUAACAGUUCAUGUUUGAUGACAGAAGAAUAAUUCUGGAUCUGCUACCACUUCUAGAUAGCCAUAGCACCUAGGAGUUUAUCAUCUAAACAUUACCCUUGUGACUACAAAGAGAGAUGUAGGUGCAGGUUACAUUGUCAGUAUGUUUUUGGAUAGAAAACAAGCACUUGCUUGUUUUAAUACAGUACUCGCAUUCUAAAUUUAAUUUAAAGAACUAUCUCAAAACUACACAUAAACAAGAAAAAAAACUGUUACAAGAUACCCUACCCUAUUCAUUUAUUCUAACAUCUUCUGCUACUGCCUCUGAAAUAAUACUCUUCAUUUCCAUUAUUUCCUGUCAAGAAGAAAUACAGUCACAUUUGCUUACUGGUGUUGCAGAAUUUCAUAGCCUUACUGCAAUACGGUCAGCAGUUAGCAAUACUUUUAAAGCCCCAGCUGUUUUAGGUCUAUUUCUUUUUAGAAAUCACUUAUUUCACAUCUGCAAAACAAGGUUAGUGAAGAUUUAACUCUAUAACAACACCUACACAUUUGAAAUGGAUUUCUAUAAAACAAAACAAAACAUUUAUCUUAUUAUUUGCAUUCGACAAUUCUGCAUCUAAUUUGAUUUGAAUUCAAAAUAGUUGACUUCACCUCCAGCCCUCCUCAUACUCAGCCAUAUUUUCCUAUGUCUGUAUGUCUUACAGUGUUGUUCAAUCUUCAGUGCUGGAUUUCUAUUCCCACUAAUAUUAUCCUCUAAACUUCCUAAUGAAAUGUAACAGUUGUGUUUUUACUGGCUGUAGCAAGAAUUAAAAUAUAUCAAUUUUCCCAAGGAAGAAAAGAACAAUUAGAAAAGCUUCAUUCUUAACUGGAAACAAAGGUAUUCUACUAGGCCAUAGUCAAAAAAAUUCCUUUCUCAAAGCAGUAUUAAAAAUUUAUCAAAAGAAAAUAUUUUGAAAUAAAUAAAUCUUCAACCUGUGGAGUAUAACACUCAGGAGUCCUUGCUUAAACAACAAUCUAAGUAAGCCAAGCUAAGCAUUUGCAAUAACCAAUUUCCAGUUUAUUAGCAUCUUGCAAAGAUUCAAGAUUCUGUAUCUGUAGUUUUUCACCUCACCACCUCCUGAAUUUCUCUCAGCUGUUCUCAGCUAAUAAAUACCACCUCCAAAUACUUAAAUAAAUAACGUGUAGAUUAUUUUAACCUGCGUAUUUUCAGAGCGGGACAGGUGUCCAAACGACAGAGAGGCACCCAGGUAGUCCAGCAGAGUCUAUGGCCUUUUAGCUCUCACUCUUCCACUUUCUGCUCCCUUAGAGCUACCCUGGGACUUUGCUGACCACAAUAGCUUUGGGCACUCUCACCCAGAGACUUAUUCAAUCACUCAGCCAACAAUACACCUGAUUAAGAGAAAUGGCCUUUUAAUAAUCUUCUACUCCACAAAUUCAUACCCUCACAUUAUAGGCCAGAACAACAAGAGGCAUUUCAUCAACUUCAAAAGUAUAAGUCAGGUUGAUGUUCAUUAAAAAUAUAUAUUCUGCUGUGCUUUGUGUUUGAAACCACUGUCUCUAAAAUGUGUCAACAAAUGAAAGCCAACAAAAAUUGUACAGCUGAGCUGGUUGUGAUUCCCGUGCUUACGACUGACUUCCCUGGUACACAAAUGCUUAACAAUAUAUUUUGUAGUAUUUUCUGAUAUUCCUCAUUGGGAAAAAAAAAAAAAAAAAAAAAAAAAGAACAUAAAAAAAUCCAUAAGAAAUACUAUAACUGAUGUUGUAAAUAAUAGCAUACAAUAUAUUGAGUCAGUCUGAGUUGGCACUCUGUGUUUCUAUUGGAAGAUUCAUCCAUCAUCAAAAUCUUUCCUCUCCAUAUCCCACUGAAAGCUCCUAAGAACUGCUUGGGCCUCUCACAAUUAUUACAUUUUAUAGCUUAUAAAACCUUAGUCUGCUUAGGAAGGACUAAUUAACCUCAUUUCAUUAAAAUUGUAUGCAGACCUGGCUAUACUCAAACUUGCUGAGUACCCUGAUGGCUAUUCAGCUGCAGGUCACCAUACUGAAACCUAAUUAUCUAAAAAAUGUAGAUACGCCACUCUGUGAGAUGCAUGUUCGAACUUGAAUGCUUUUUGUGAGAUCAGGUCUUCAAAAUGGUUAAAUAUAUUCAUGUCAUUACAGUGUCCAAGUUCAACCACAAGCAAUAUAAGUUUCAGCAAUAAUUUAGAAAGGACCUAUCGAACAGAAAUGAGUAAUUUAAAAAGGAUAAGGAAACAUUUAUAUUUAAUCACAAGCAGCAACUAGAAGGAGAUCUACAUCAUAAUAUUAACUCUGGCUGGGAUUACUGUUGAAAAUUUUGCCAGUAACAUACAAACAGAACACACUUUGAUUAUAGUGUUAAAUUUGUUAUUAACCACUCAAAUCUAAACUGAACAACACACUGUUUUUUAAAUGAUUAAUUAGUAUGAGGUCUGAUCCAAAAGUAAUAUCUUCUAUUUUAUUAUGUUGGCCCAUUACAUCAGAGGAAGAUGUUGGUGGUAUGGCAGUAAAGGACGAACCUUCCCACCAAUACUUCCUUAAAAUUUGUUGCUGUGAGACAGAUGGCAGCAGAGGGGCAGUCUGACAAAAAGGCACCUGACAUGGAAGUGCAGAUGAAUCAGAGGUGUGGGACUGAAUUCCUCCAUGAAGAAAAAAUAGCACUGACAUUCACUGACGCUUUUCAAACAUUUAUGGAAACCAAAGAGUGCAUGUUAGCAAAGUGAGGUGGGAGUGUAUCAUCGGUGGCUGAAAUUUCCUGAAAUCGACUUAAUUUCUUAAGGAGAUGGGCAGAAUGGGGUCAGUUGGUUCCACUUAUUUGUGUGCUUAAAGAUCAUGUACUGAGGACAUUAUCAAAAUGCAACUGAUUAGUUUGCAAUAAACUGCUGUGUUAUUGGCCUUGGAGACUUGAAAAUUUCAGAGAAAUGAUGAUGACGUUGCACACUGAACAGCAAUCACAUUCACCAAAAAACAAUCGCCUAAAAUACUAUGUGAGCACAGAAUUAUUAAAAAGCACUUUAUUAGAAACAACACUGGUUCGGCUACUCUGAGUCAGGGUUAUGAUCUGUGUGUCAGGACAAGUUGAGAGGAAUUUAUGAUGUAAAAUCACUUCCUUCAAUAAGGUCUGGAGCAUCUUAGAAGAAAAUCAUUUUCUGAUUCAGAAAAAACCCUACAUAAAUCUGGAUAAAGUAUCCCUCUGUUGCCAUAUUAGCCCAGAAAAGUGAAACCAUGUCAGUAACUUGGGAGCUGUCUCACACAGGUGCAAAAUGGAGACAUGAUUAUGAAAUAGCAAUCAGGCCAUGUCAGCUAUUGCAAUCUUUAUGAAAAUAAAAUGAGCAGGGAAGACACUGUGGAAAAAGUGAUCUACCCUGAAAUUAUUUAAAAUGUCUCACUCCUAUUCUGAAUUCCAUCAAAGGAAAUUAAAAACUUCUAAAUGCCUUCUCCAGAUUCUGAAGGAGUCAGGAAAAGAAUUCCAGAGGAAUUAUUUAUAGGAGGAAGAAAUUUUGCAUUGUAAUAAUAGCUUAAAUAAAAUAAUUCAAGUCAUAAAUGGCAACAGGAUCUUCCUGGGGAAAAGUUUGUACCUCUGGAGUACACUUCCCUUCAAAACAACAAAAACCCAGAUGUGGCACCUUCAAAGACAAUGCAUGAUCUCAGGGCAAAUGGCAAAUUUACUCAUUAUUUUCUAGUUUUUUGUUAUCUGCAUACAAAAGCUUUUCUCCAUUUUGACUUCAAAUUUCUUGUGCUUACUACAUAUUCUUCUGGCUGAUGUUUUGAGCACUUUUACUCUGAGUAAUUGUGUGCUGACAGUUUUCAUAAUCACUAAUUGCACUAGAUGACUCCUGUGAUCAGAAACAAAGCAUUUGGGAAAGAUUAAGUGAAUGAAACCAUCCUCUGAAUCAAUAAUUACGCUGAAGUCCUCUUAUGGACAGAUACAUUUUUCUUCUGCACAGAAUGAUUUAUCCAAUACUCCUUAGUUUCACUGCCAAUGCAAAAGCUUUGUUAAAUAUGAAAAUGUUGCAUUUUUUGUCCUUUCUGUAAUAGAACAUUGUUUCAGAUUUCUUAAUGUUUCUAAUAAACAACAAAUAGAGCUGGCACAUAAAAUAUUUCAUGAGUGUUCGUUCCAAACAUAUGGCUAAUGAUGAAAAUUUAUAAAAUAAAAUCAUAUAAUGGCCUGGGUUGAAAAGGACCAGAAUGAUCAUCAUUCAAGGAACUAAACUGAAAAUAGUUAAAAAAAAAAAAAGACAAACAAAACUUUUGAAACAAUUCAAAAUUCAAUUAGGAUAGAUUGCAAGGUUGUUGACUUGCUAAAUAGUGCUCUCCUGGCCACAGAAAUGUUUAUAAAAUUAUUGGGAUAGCAAAUGAAAUUCAUAGAAAAAAUCUGAAAAGUUAUUAGCUUUUAAUGUAUAAAUUGGAGACAUCAGAAGAAUCCCUUAAAGAGACAUUUCCAGCAGAACAGAAAAACUACAAACCUAAUCAGCCGGAGCCUUCAUUAUAAUGUCCCAAUUCCAAGCUAUUCUCACGUAGUAUUGCUGUGCACACUACGGAGUAAAAGUUCUGCUUUAAAAAUCCUGCCGCUCUUAAUUCAGUUCCUAGACUCAGCUACCUGGGGAUUCGUGGCCACAGAUACCUGUUGAAAUUUUUGUUUUGGUGUUCCCCAGCCUCUAAUAUAGGGGUUCAAGAUUAACCUUCUCAUUGCUGUUCCACAAACAGAACAAUGUAAAUGAAAGAACUAUUAGAAAUACAGGUAUUUUAUCACAUAUUCAAUGUUCUUUCAGAUUUAACUGGCUACACAGCAACAGACAGAUGCUCCCAAACGUGACCUUGAGUCACUAAUGACAAUAAAGAAAUAUGGCUAUUUUUUUUUUGUCUCAUGCUUAACAUGGGCUACUACAAUAUUUAUCAAUUAUGUCCUGUACCAAGUGAUAGAGAAUACUUUACUUCAGACAAUUUGCUUUGUUUAAUAGUGGUCACAAACUGUGAAGAGAAACCUGAUGAAGAGGUGAGAACUUUCAGAGAACCUGUAGCAAAGGAGUAGGAACCAAAUUUUUUGAUAAACCGUGAGAAUCCACCUUAAGGAAAAAGAAAUACAAACUAAUUACUUAAACUGCACAUGCUAACAGACUGAACAAUGGGGAAAUCCAAGUAGAACAGAAAAGCAGCACUGAGAACAAAUUCCAUGAACAGUACAGCAUAACUGCUGUCAAAGCCAAUGUCUUGGGGAGCAGUUAUCUCCACUAACUCCAACAAUGCAAUUUCCUUAGCUUAAAAGGAAAAAAUAUUCACUGCCAUUUGAUCCAUACAACCUAAUGAGAGCUAAGAAGUGAAUGUUGGCACACAAUGCUAAAAGUUUUAUUAAAUUACAAACAGAAUAAAUUAUUUCUUAAGAAAGAAAUGUGACCUCAAUUUUCCUUUGAAAGGAGUGUUCUAGUCCUUGUAUAUACGUGAUGACUUAUAUCCUCUUACACUUUUAUCAAAUGUAAAAGCCAAGGGUCUUGCUAACAAAUCAUAAGGAAUUGAUACUUAACAAAAUGUUAUUUCUAAGCUGCCAGUGUCAUUGCCUUACACAACAGCAGCUAUAAAAGAAACUUUGCAGCACAGCAAAAUCGAGGUAGAUCUGCUGAGGGACAAAGUUAGUACUGAGGGCCCAAUGGCCACAAUAACUAUAUUGGUGGAAACAGACCUAUUCAGUACUAGGAGCAGUCUGCUUCCUGGGACAGCACCAGAUCACUACUGGCACCAGUAUGUGCUCUCCUGGAAGGCAUUUACUCAGUUGGCAUGUUCAAAGACUGCUCCAUGAGGCAUACGAAAAUGUAAUUACCUGGAGGCAACCAGGACAAUUACUUCACAUACACACUCCUGAUCCAAAUCAAAAUGCUAAUCUAAACUCACUCAUUGUAACAUGCAGAACUAGAGACAUCCACACAUUUCAGUAGCUGUAGUAUUAAUGGUCUGGAAUGCAAAAAUGAGAGCUAAUUGUAAAUAACUUUCUCCUAUCUAAUCAUUAGCGAGUUUCAUAUCCUUAAGACCUGUGUACUUAAUAAUUAUUCAAGUGUCACUAAACAUAAUAAAUGCAAGUAAUACAUUUAUUAUUUACCAAAAAAAAAAAAAAAGAUUUAAAUAUAUACACAUAAUGAAUUGCUUCUCCUAAGUAUAAAAAAAAUACGUUACAAGUUUCCACACAUAUUCAACAGCUAAAAGGUUCCAUUUGGGCACCAUACCUCCUGCAAAUAAAUAAGUGAACAAUUUCCAAGGAGUUUCUGUUAUACGGAACUCUUCUACAGAUCUGGCCAUGACCGCAAUUACCAUGUUCUUCUGACAUGUUUAGCUUCAGCCAUCUAACCUAACAGCUUCUUCUGUAGAAGCCUAGGAAUUACACCAGAUAUAGGAGAAGAUAAUGAAAACAAAAAUUAAGUCAAAACCUUUCAGAGAAUUAUGUUGAGACAGACAAGAAUUUAUAAGCAAAUCACUAGAAAUGAUUAAAUGAUGGAGCUUGACUUUAAAUGCUGUGAAAUGACUUCAGUACUGGAGGAACUUCAUUACUUUUGCAGCUUGCAUAUAAUGGAUUUUUUGGAGUAUAAUUUCCUCCCCUGAAAAGCUUUGAGAUAUUAAAAUAUGUUUGAUUAACUAGUCAAGAAGCAAAGUAAACAACUGUAAUUUUGGUAUACUAGUAUCCAAAUAACUCAGGAGAAUAUCUGUGAGCACAAUGAAAACUAAACAGAGCCAGAAAUGCCUUGUAAAUAUUACAGUAGUUGCUUCUGCCAAAAUAUUGCCAGCCAGCACAGAUUACAGUGCCAUAAUUACAGUAGAUGACAUAAAAUGAUUAUAAAUUAACAGUCUGUAGUAUGAAGUUAAACAUUAUAUAUUUUUACUAGGUACCUGCACAAAAUAUGAACAAAGGACUGUGAAAUAUUGUAAAAGAGAAAUCACCAGGGAACCUGUUUCUGUUUUAACUCAAGCUCAAUAUUUUUCCAUGAAGCUUCUCACAUUUUUCUAGAGUCCUUUCCCAGUCAAGUAGUAAUUUAAAAAUGUUUCAAAAAAUAUCUAAAUCUCUUAAUUUUUACCAAAAAGUUCCAGAAAAUAGGAAGGCAAUACAUACAACGUACUCAACUAUCUGUGAUUUAGUCCUUUGCUAAAUCAAAAGCCUACAAAACGUACUCAUGCUGAUAUGACAGGAGUUCCUAAUAAAUGAGGAAAUAUGGAAUCUGGUUUCUAUGCUGCCUAUUCAAAAAACACCUGAAUUUCUGUGUUGUUAUUGCUCACUUUCAGAUCCUUCUCAUCUCCAAUUCUGGGGAAACUGGAUAGGGUUUCCCUUUCCUUGAGAUGAAAGUUUCUAGGAUGUGUUUUAGGAACCAAGCCUAAGAUUUACAUGAUUUCCUCUGCCUACACUGCUCAGUAUUUUUGAAACUGGCACAAUUAUUACUUGUCAUUUAACUUCCCUGAACCAAAUCAGAAAAUUUACAUCUGCAAAACGUCAAGAAGAAAGGGGAAGCAGAAACAAUCCACACUAAAUCAGAGGGUGGUUUCUGUGUGAUAGUUCAGUGAUGAUAGGUGAGGUACAGGAAACAAUCUUAUGCAAUGAUCACCAAAAACUUGAGAAGUUGAUGUGAUACUAAGUUCUAUGGAUGCAAAAAAACGUUACUACUUUCUUUUAAUGAGAUCUUUCUUAGUAUUUGAUUUAUUUUCUAAUGACAGUAUAAAGCACAUUGACACCUUUUUGUUUCCACAUCAUCACAAGUUCUCUGAAGGCUUACAUUUAAAUCUCUCUGCUAUAAUCACAGUGGUUUCAAAUUAGCAUCUUAAUGAAUUCUCCAUGGACUUGUGUCCUUAUGCGUUUUCCCUUUUCUAAUCUCAUAUCAUAAUGGUGCCAUAACUGGGUCCCUUCUGAUUCGAGCUGAAAUCAUUAUGGAACAGUUAACAGCAAAGAUACACUAGAUUAAACAGAAGAGAAAUUCAGUAGCAUUGUAAAAGAGCAGAUUAUGAUUUCUGACUUUUUUAAAGCAUUCUCAAAGAAGUCAGUCUCUGUGCACAAAAGGUACCUGGUAGUCUGAAAAAUUCUUAAUAUGGAAAAUAUUCAGCUAGAAAUUUUUGAAUUCAUUUAGUACAGAACUACACUAACUGUUAACAAAACCACCCUUUAAAAGUCAAAUAAAUGAAAAACUGCAACUUAGAGCCCAACCUGGUGAUGCACACAAUUGUAUCAUGGAAAUUUAGAGGAGAAUGACAAAAGGAAACAACAAAACAUUAAAUGAUAUUUUUGUAGCUGAUGUCUAAUUGGAGACACAGAGAUAUUUGGUAUCUACAUCAGAGUUGCUGAACACCGGUACUUAUUUAUUUCCUUGAAAGGUAGCUGUAAGCAGCAGAACUCUGAAAAAGCUCCCCUAUCUUUAGAAAGUCAACUCUACGCUGGCCUUAGUUCAAACCUAAAUGAACAUAUCUGCUUCUCCAAAUUAUACAGAAUAUUCGGAAUGAAUGGAAAAAACUAAUUCACUUAAAAUAUAUUGAAUGGAGAAAAGACACUUAGAAUUGUACAUCUCUUCAGAGGAUCAGGAUGACUAAAUCAUUGAUGUCAGUAAUAUGCUAGGCCAUAAACUGUUGUGCUAAAUAAGAUGCAGGUAAAGCUCUGUAAUGGUAAGAAACUGUCAUCUCUCUAAAGCUCCAUCUUACCGCAAAAUAUUUUUUAGCAUUGGUAACUAUUUGCAAAUACCAGAGUGAACUGUACUCUAAGGACAAACCAGCUAGAAAGGUCUGCCCAAAAUAACAUACCAACUGAACUGAACCAAGUGCAGGGAUGGAAUUGCAGAGCUUGUAACUUCCAAUAAGGAGUGCACAACUGUCAAAUGCAAAUUGCUGGAGAUAAGAUUCAU
ensembl:lncRNA